rnacentral:lncRNA from 1 species
AAUUCUAGGGGGUGAUGUUCUGUGUCACUGACAACACCCUACACAACCACUACACAACAAAGAAAAUGUCUAAGGAUUCGCCUGUGAUUAAACUAAGAUUUAUUACUACUUCCAGAGACAAGUACUUGUCUGCUACUUCCAGAAAUUUGAUUAUUUUUUGUCAUAUUGUAGCCGUUGUAGGAAGCCUAGUUAAAAAGACAGUCAGAAGCGAAACCUAACGACAGGUUGUUUAUUAACCCAUAGAGUAAAAGCAUGAUACAAUGAAUACAAGACUAGCACAGUUGCCAGUUGUGCAAUAAAGUAUAGCGUUAGCUGAAAAUGUAUCCUUGCAGAAAUAAUACAUUACGAUUCACGAGACGAAAGUCCAAACAAUGACCCAAUGUUACUUUCCUAUUAUUUACGACGGAAUAUGCGGUUUGUGGUGCCGCAGAUGAUAUGUAAAUUUUAAUGCAAAUAAAAUGACUACACACCGCA